rnacentral:pre_miRNA from 1 species
AUGUAUGUGUGUGUGGUUGGUGUUCAGUACCAGGGACAGAUGGGUUAACCUAUGUGUGGAUGUGUUCAGUACCAGGGACAGAUGUGUUUACCU